UACGUAGGGGGGCAAGCGUUUGUCCGGAAUCAUUGGGCGUAAAGCGCGUGUAGGCGGUCCGGUAAGUCCGCUGUGAAAGUCGGGGGCUCAACCCUCGGAUGCCGGUGGAUACUGUCGGGCUUGAGUACGGAAGAGGCGAGUGGAAUUCCUGGGUGUAGCGGUGAAAAUGCGCAGAUAUCAGGAGGAACACCAAUUGCGAAGGCAGCUCGCUGGGACGUUACUGACGCUGAGACGCGAAAGCGUGGGGAGCAAACAGGAU
rnacentral:rRNA from 1 species